UACGAAGGGGGCUAGCGUUGCUCGGAAUCACUGGGCGUAAAGCGCACGUAGGCGGAUCUUUAAGUCAGGGGUGAAAUCCUGGAGCUCAACUCCAGAACUGCCUUUGAUACUGGGGAUCUCGAGUCCGGGAGAGGUGAGUGGAACUCCGAGUGUAGAGGUGAAAUUCGUAGAUAUUCGGAAGAACACCAGUGGCGAAGGCGGCUCGCUGGUCCGGUACUGACGCUGAGGUGCGAAAGCGUGGGGAGCAAACAGG
rnacentral:rRNA from 1 species